UACGUAGGACCCAAGCGUUAUCCGGAAUCACUGGGCGUAAAGCGUACGUAGGCGGCGCGUUAAGUGCAAUGCGAAAUCCUGGGGCUCAACCCUAUGGACUGUGUUGCAUACUGGCGUGCUUGAGGAUGGCAGAGGCAAGUGGAAUUGGUAGUGUAGCAGUGAAAUGCGUAGAUAUUACCAGGAACACCAAUGGCGAAGGCAGCUUGCUGGGCCAUAUCUGACGCUGAGGUACGAAAGCGUGGGGAGCGAACAGG
rnacentral:rRNA from 1 species